AAAUAAAUAAAUAUACAUACACACACACACACAGACAUUGCUUACCUUUAAUCCUUUAUCAUUUUUUAAUUAGGCCAGCAAAUCAAAAUGCCUUUCCCACUCCACUCGGCAAACAAGCCUGUGCCUCAUUUUACUUAAACACCAAAUGAUCAAGAAGGAAGAAACCAAAUAACACAUCUCAGCCAGAAUAAUCACUCGAUAACAUUAUUCCACCUCCCCACCCCCCUUUUGGCAAACGGAUCAGGAGUCCUUUUCUCCUUAAAAAAAUGUGUCACUGUACAGCUGGAAGAUAAUGUUUCACAUUCACAACAGAAGGACCAAAGGUUUUUUUUCCUCUGAACAAGCAUCGAGAAUAAUAGUUUAAAAAAAGAGAGAGAGAGAGAGAGAGAGAGGAGAGAGAGAGAGACAGAGAGAGCUUAGAGAAAAAAGUUUUCCCAACUUCUCAUUCCGCCUUCAGUUCCAGACUUCAGAGUCACGGUGAUCAGAGCAACAGUGUGGAAAUUUUAAAGUCAGAGUGUGAUCUGAGUUUAAUUGAAAGCAUCAUGAUCCCAAGCAUUAAAGAUCCAGCACUACUGUAAUUUCGGCAUGACAACUGCAAUGUGAGAAUGUGUCUUCACUGAGUCAAAUGGACAUAUAAAGUGGAUUAGUGCUUGCCAAAGACAGUUUAUGAUGUAAAUAUUCAGUGAUGACUUUGUGGGUCAAUAAAAAUAUUUAUGUCACA